rnacentral:rRNA from 1 species
GACGAACGCUGGCGGCGUGCUUAACACAUGCAAGUCGAACGAAGAGCGAUGGAAGCUUGCUUCUAUCAAUCUUAGUGGCGAACGGGUGAGUAACGCGUAAUCAACCUGCCCUUCAGAGGGGGACAACAGUUGGAAACGACUGCUAAUACCGCAUACGAUCUAAUCUCGGCAUCGAGGAUGGAUGAAAGGUGGCCUCUAUUUAUAAGCUAUCACUGAAGGAGGGGAUUGCGUCUGAUUAGCUAGUUGGAGGGGUAACGGCCCACCAAGGCGAUGAUCAGUAGCCGGUCUGAGAGGAUGAACGGCCACAUUGGGACUGAGACACGGCCCAGACUCCUACGGGAGGCAGCAGUGGGGAAUCUUCCGCAAUGGACGAAAGUCUGACGGAGCAACGCCGCGUGAGUGAUGACGGCCUUCGGGUUGUAAAGCUCUGUUAAUCGGGACGAAAGGCCUUCUUGCGAAUAGUUAGAAGGAUUGACGGACCG